AAAGGGAGACCUAAUUCGGGUAGGAGACGAAAAAAAAGUAGUCGCUACCAAGAAUCAAUCCCAAAAGGUCGGAGCGAGGCGAAAUUGGCUUUCAAACUAGGUUCUGGGUUCACACAAGACCUGAAUCAGGAACAAGGGCUAUUAGCUCAGGUGGUUAGAGCGCACCCCUGAUAAGGGUGAGGUCCCUGGUUCGAGUCCAGGAUGGCCCACCUGCACAGGUGGCAAAAACAAGAGAAGCUCCGAAUCAGCACCUUAUCUUACUGACAUAGUAAGAGAGAAUGCUGGCUCUGAGUAAAGAGUCCAGAGGAACCUUGAAAACUGCAUAGAGCUAGGUGAAAAAGCCAAAAAAGAAGACCGCAAG
rnacentral:tRNA from 1 species